rnacentral:rRNA from 1 species
AUUGAACGCUGGCGGCAUGCCUUACACAUGCAAGUCGAACGGCAGCACGGGUGCUUGCACCUGGUGGCGAGUGGCGAACGGGUGAGUAAUACAUCGGAACAUGUCCUGUAGUGGGGGAUAGCCCGGCGAAAGCCGGAUUAAUACCGCAUACGAUCUACGGAUGAAAGCGGGGGACCUUCGGGCCUCGCGCUAUAGGGUUGGCCGAUGGCUGAUUAGCUAGUUGGUGGGGUAAAGGCCUACCAAGGCGACGAUCAGUAGCUGGUCUGAGAGGACGACCAGCAACACUGGGACUGAGACACGGCCCAGACUCCUACGGGAGGCAGCAGUGGGGAAUUUUGGACAAAGGGCGAAAGCCUGAUCCAGCAAUGCCGCGUGUGUGAAGAAGGCCUUCGGGUUGGAAAGCACUUUUGUCCGGAAAGAAAUCCUUGGCCCUAAUACGGUCGGGGGAUGACGGUACCGGAAGAAUAAGCACCGGCUAACUACGUG